rnacentral:rRNA from 1 species
CAAUAGCAUAUAUUAACGUUGUUGCAGUUGAAAAGCUCGUAGUUGAACUUUUGGUAGGAGCGACCUGGCCUUGGGCGCAUGCCCUUGUUUGCCGUGUGUCGUAUCUGGCCAUCCUUUUCCGCUUCGGCGGGAAUCCUUUACUGUGAGUAAACUGGAGUGCUCAAAACAAGACGUUUGUUUGGUACAUUAAAGCAUGGAAUAAUAAGAUAGGACCUGGUUACUAUUUUGUUGGUUUGCAUAGCUAGGUAAUGAUUAACAGGGACAGUUGGGGGUAUUCGUAUUUAAUUGUCAGAGGUGAAAUUCUUGGAUUUAUGAAAGACGAACGACUGCGAAAGCAUUAACCAAGGAUGUUUUCAUUAA